UACGGGAGGCAGCAGGGGGAAUAUUGCACAAUGGGCGAAAGCCUGAUGCAGCUAUGCCGCGUGUAUGAAGAAGGCCUUAGGGUUGUAAAGUACUUUCAUCGGGGAGGAAAAACAAAACUAAUAAUUUUAUUUCUUGACGUUACCCGAAAAAGAAGCACCGGCUAACUCCGUGCCAGCAGCCGCGGUAAUACGGAGGGUGCUAGCGUUAAUCAGAAUUACUGGGCGUAAAGAGCACGUAGGUGGGUUUUUUAAGUCAGAUGUGAAAUCCCUGGGCUUAACCUGGAACUGCAUUUUGAAACUGAAAUACUAGAGUAUCGUAGAGGGAGGUAGAAUUCUAGGUGUAGCGGUGAAAUGCGUAGAUAUCUGGAGGAAUACCUGUGGCGAAAGCGGCCUCCUAAACGAAUACUGACACUGAGGUGCGAAAGCGUGGGGAGCAAACAGGGAUUAGAUACC
rnacentral:rRNA from 1 species